rnacentral:rRNA from 1 species
GAGUUUGAUCCUGGCUCAGGACGAACGCUGGCGGCACGCCUAACACAUGCAAGUCGAACGGAGAUAUUUUGGUUUACUGAGAUAUCUUAGUGGCGGACGGGUGAGUAACACGUGAGCAACCUGCCUCUGAGAGAGGGAUAGCUUCUGGAAACGGAUGGUAAUACCUCAUAACAUAACGAAGCCGCAUGACUUUGUUAUCAAAGAUUUAUCACUCAGAGAUGGGCUCGCGUCUGAUUAGAUAGUUGGUGAGGUAACGGCCCACCAAGUCGACGAUCAGUAGCCGGACUGAGAGGUUGAACGGCCACAUUGGGACUGAGACACGGCCCAGACUCCUACGGGAGGCAGCAGUGGGGAAUAUUGCACAAUGGGGGAAACCCUGAUGCAGCGAUGCCGCGUGGAGGAAGAAGGUUUUCGGAUUGUAAACUCCUGUCUUAAAGGACGAUAAUGACGGUACUUUAGGAGGAAGCUCCGGCUAACUACGUGCCAGCAGCCGCGGUAAUACGUAGGGAGCGAGCGUUGUCCGGAAUUACUGGGUGUAAGGGASCGUAUGCGGGAUGGYAAGUCWKAUGUUGYAAACUAU